rnacentral:rRNA from 1 species
AACGAACGCUGGCGGCAUGCCUAACACAUGCAAGUCGAACGAGACCUUCGGGUCUAGUGGCGCACGGGUGCGUAACGCGUGGGAACCUGCCCUUAGGUUCGGAAUAACUCCCCGCAAGGGGUGCUAAUACCGGAUAAUGUCUUCGGACCAAAGAUUUAUCGCCUUUGGAUGGGCCCGCGUUGGAUUAGCUAGUUGGUAGGGUAAAAGCCUACCAAGGCGACGAUCCAUAGCUGGUCUGAGAGGAUGAUCAGCCACACUGGGAGUGAGACACGGCCCAGACUCCUACGGGAGGCAGCAGUGGGGAAUAUUGGACAAUGGGCGAAAGCCUGAUCCAGCAAUGCCGCGUGAGUGAUGAAGGCCUUAGGGUUGUAAAGCUCUUUUACCCGGGAUGAUAAUGACAGUACCGUGAGAAUAAGCGCCGGCUAACUCCGUG